GUUAUAGGGUCAAGCGAACAAGUGCAUGUGGUGGAUGCCUUGGCGAUCACAGGCGAUGAAGGACGCGGUAGCCUGCGAAAAGCUCGGGGAGCUGGCAAACAAGCUUUGAUCCGGAGAUGUCCGAAUGGGGAAACCCGGCCCGAAUGGGUCAUCCCUGACUGAAUCCAUAGGUCAGGGAAGCGAACGCGGCGAACUGAAACAUCUAAGUAGCUGCAGGAACAGAAAUCAACCGAGAUUCCCAGAGUAGUGGCGAACGAAAUGGGAAGAGCCUUGUACUCUUUAGCAGCAUUGUUAGCAGAACGGGAUGGAAAGCCCGGCCAUAGCAGGUGAUAGCCCUGUAUGCGAAAACAGCGUUGUGGAACUAGGUGUACGACAAGUAGGGCGGGACACGUGAAAUCCUGUCUGAAGAUGGGGGGACCAUCCUCCAAGGCUAAAUACUCGUGAUCGACCGAUAGUGAACCAGUACCGUGAGGGAAAGGCGAAAAGAACCCCGGGAGGGGAGUGAAAUAGAUCCUGAAACCGCAUGCAUACAAACAGUCGGAGCCUGGAAACGGGUGACGGCGUACCUUUUGUAUAAUGGGUCAGCGACUUACAUUCAGUGGCAAGCUUAACCGAUUAGGGAAGGCGUAGCGAAAGCGAGUCCGAAUAGGGCGUUCAGUCGCUGGGUGUAGACCCGAAACCAGAUGAUCUAUCCAUGGCCAGGUUGAAGGUGCGGUAACACGUACUGGAGGACCGAACCCACUAACGUUGAAAAGUUAGGGGAUGAGCUGUGGAUAGGGGUGAAAGGCUAAACAAAUCUGGAAAUAGCUGGUUCUCUCCGAAAACUAUUUAGGUAGUGCCUCGUGUCUCACCUUCGGGGGUAGAGCACUGUCAUGGUUGGGGGGUCUAUUGCUGAUUACCCCGCCAUAGCAAACUCCGAAUACCGAAGAGUGCAAUCACGGGAGACAGACAUCGGGUGCUAACGUCCGGUGUCAAGAGGGAAACAACCCAGACCGCCAGCUAAGGUCCCCAAAUAUAGCUAAGUGGGAAACGAAGUGGGAAGGCUAAAACAGUCAGGAGGUUGGCUUAGAAGCAGCCACCCUUUAAAGAAAGCGUAAUAGCUCACUGAUCGAGUCGUCCUGCGCGGAAGAUGUAACGGGGCUAAGCUAUAUACCGAAGCUGCGGACGCACAGCAAUGUGCGUGGUAGGAGAGCGUUCCGUAAGCCUGUGAAGGUGUCUUGUAAAGGAUGCUGGAGGUAUCGGAAGUGCGAAUGCUGACAUGAGUAGCGAUAAAGGGGGUGAAAGGCCCCCUCGCCGUAAGCCCAAGGUUUCCUACGCAACGUUCAUCGGCGUAGGGUGAGUCGGCCCCUAAGGCGAGGCAGAGAUGCGUAGCUGAUGGGAAGCAGGUUAAUAUUCCUGCACCGUCGUAUGAUGCGAUGGGGGGACGGAUCGCGGAAGGUUGUCCGGGUGUUGGAAGUCCCGGUCCCUGCAUUGGAGAAGGCGCUUAGGCAAAUCCGGGCGCGGAAUUCAAGAGUGUGGGGCGAGCGGCCUAGUGCUGCGAAGCAAUUGGAAGUGGUUCCAAGAAAAGCCUCUAAGCUUCAGUCAUACGAGACCGUACCGCAAACCGACACAGGUGGGCGAGAUGAGUAUUCUAAGGCGCUUGAGAGAACUCGGGAGAAGGAACUCGGCAAAUUGGUACCGUAACUUCGGGAUAAGGUACGCCCUGGUAGCUUGACUGGCCUGCGCCAGAAGGGUGAAGGGGUUGCAAUAAAUGGUGGCUGCGACUGUUUAAUAAAAACACAGCACUCUGCAAACACGAAAGUGGACGUAUAGGGUGUGACGCCUGCCCGGUGCCGGAAGAUUAAUGAUGGGGUGCAAGCUCUUGAUUGAAGUCCCGGUAAACGGCGGCCGUAACUAUAACGGUCCUAAGGUAGCGAAAUUCCUUGUCGGGUAAGUUCCGACCUGCACGAAUGGCGUAACGAUGGCCACA
rnacentral:rRNA from 1 species